UACGGAGGGUGCAAGCGUUAAUCGGAAUUACUGGGCGUAAAGCGCACGUAGGUGGUUUGCUAAGUCAGCUGUGAAAUCCCCGGGCUCAACCUGGGCACUGCAGUUGAAACUGGCAAGCUAGAGUAGGGUAGAGGGGUGUGGAAUUCCAGGUGUAGCGGUGAAAUGCGCAGAGAUCAGGAGGAACACCCGUAGCGAAGGCGGCACUCUGGGCCGAUAUUGACGCUGAGGUGCGAAAGCGUGGGGAGCAAACAGG
rnacentral:rRNA from 1 species